ACGAACGCUGGCGGCAUGCCUAACACAUGCAAGUCGAACGAGACCUUCGGGUCUAGUGGCGCACGGGUGCGUAACGCGUGGGAACCUGCCCUUAGGUUCGGAAUAACUCCCCGAAAGGGGUGCUAAUACCGGAUAAUGUCUUCGGACCAAAGAUUUAUCGCCUUUGGAUGGGCCCGCGUUGGAUUAGCUAGUUGGUAGGGUAAAAGCCUACCAAGGCGACGAUCCAUAGCUGGUCUGAGAGGAUGAUCAGCCACACUGGGACUGAGACACGGCCCAGACUCCUACGGGAGGCAGCAGUGGGGAAUAUUGGACAAUGGGCGAAAGCCUGAUCCAGCAAUGCCGCGUGAGUGGUGAAGGCCUUAGGGUUGUAAAGCUCUUUUACCCGGGAUGAUAAUGACAGUACCGGGAGAAUAAGCGCCGGCUAACUCCGUG
rnacentral:rRNA from 1 species